GAAAUAUGCUCUUGAUUGCAAUGUGAGUAUAUUUUUCUUUGUUUUUAUGUUAAAUUUAUUAUGCAUCAUGAGUUUUGCCUUUUUAUUAAUGCAUCAUCAGUAAAAUUUCACUCAUGAACACUGAAUAUGUUGGUAAAGAGCUCUCUUUAAAUUGUCAUAUGUUCAUGCCAUUUCAUACAUCUCAUAUAUUCAAAUGGAUUUUCUUUUUCUGCACAAAAGUAUUAUAGCUACAUUUUAUGAAAUAUACUCAAUAGUCUUUUGUUUGAUGGAAAAGAUGUUUUUAUCCGUAAUCUGCCUUCUCUUUAAUCACAACUUCCUCUGUCAUUUUUUUAUUUGUUAUUUUUUAAAAGUUAUUUUGUCCAA
rnacentral:misc_RNA from 1 species